GCAGCUAUAGCUUAGAUUUAAAGCAAUACUUUGAAGGGGUAUAGAGAUAAAAUUUGGUUGCA
rnacentral:tRNA from 2 species